rnacentral:rRNA from 1 species
AUGGUGUUGAGCUACUCCCCGGACGAGCGCCAGAGCAUCACGGAUCACCUGAACUGUCAGCUCGGAUGCUUCCCCAUGACCUAUCCGGGGAUCCCCAUUAGCGACUCCAGGCUCACAGUGGUCGAGCUGCGCCCCAUGGUGAACAAGUUCUAACAUCGCAUUGAGCCUUGGCAGGGUAGAUGGCUAUCUAAGGCUGCCCAGACGGUGCUCAUUAACUCGUCCAUGUCUAGCAUGCUUCUGUUCAUUAUGAGCUUCUACAGCCUGCCAGAGAUGCUUCACCAUGAGAUUGCCAGAGUCCAGGGCCGCUUCUUCUAGGCUGGUGAGGGAGAUAACCAGAAGUAUCACAUGGCACGGUGGGCCGAGAUAUGCAAGCCUCGCGACCAGGGUGGCCUCGGGAUCAUGUCCUCCAAACGCAUGAACAUUGCCCUACUGACUCGGUGGCUAUGGCAGAUUGCGAACGCGGAGGGUGGCCUUUGGCUAUGCAUAAUUCAGCAGAAAUACCUCUGUGGAUGGCCAUUCGCCUUCUGCCAGUGCACCGGAGGAUCCCAGUUCUGGCAAUCCAUCAUACAGUUACUCCCAGUCCUCUGGCUCGGGACCUCGAUUGCGGUUGGCUCUGGCACGUCCACCCUGUUUUGGUUCGAUCGUUGGGCUGGCGACGACCCCUUCGCGGCCCGCUUCCCGGACUUGUUCACCAUCGCGGUCGAACCUAGGAUCUCCGUUGAGGUGGCUCUUGUUGACUUAGGGCACCUGGCGUUCCAACGGCCGUUCGGCCCGGUUGAAAAUGCCUCAUGGCAGGACAUGCUAUACUGUAUCGCGCUGCACGAGCCUGCCUUGGAGCACGAGGAUGAUCGCACCUUGUGGAGGCUGGAGCCCUCUGGCCAAUUCUCCACUAAAUCGAUCCCUCUACCAGGCUAUCGCGGCUUCCCCGGGUCCUGUGGCUCUCACGGCCGUCUGGGAGAUCCAGCUCCCCUUAAAGAUAAGGAUAUUCCCAUGGCAAUGGAUCCAGGCCACCUUCCUUCCGGCGUGGAGGUGCUUAAGCGCAACGGCCCCAGAGACGGGUUGUGA